UCCAAACGUUAGUUCAGUUGCUGCAUCAAACAGGGCAUUUAAAUCAAUCCAUAACAAAUAGUGCAUAUAAAACUAGGGUGUAAAUGUUAUGUGCUAUGUGUAGCAGUCAAUUAUCAUGUUUAAAACAGAUAAAGUGCUUGUCGGUCAUUUACAUCUUAAUUUUCAUAGUCUGCACUCAGUCAAUAGUAAAAUUAGACGUGCUGACCAGGCCGGUUGACCUUGAAAUGAUUUCAUACCGCACAACAAGCAAAACCCCACAUGAACACUCAUUUAACUGAUUACCGAUUUAUUUUACAUGACAAAGCGGUUCGGUUACAUGUUCAUUAUUAUAUUUGCAAGAGUAUUUUCGGCACGAAUGGUUUCAUAAGUCACCCCGCAGUCCAUCCAAAUACACUCAAACGACUCUCUGACGACGAAGUCAAAUUGUUCAACCGUGCAACGAUGUUAUGAAGACAUCGCCUUUAAGAAACGGCAUCUUAAACACAAUGGUUUAAAUGAUGCUAAUAUUUCAUGUAUGUUGCUCUUUUACAUCUUAUAAGCGAACAAUGGAGAGCGACUUGUGCCUAUAUGCGGCCGCGCGCGAUUCCCGCUUCACGUACAACGUCACCGAGAAAAUAGCGUUCUGCUGUGGCGCUACUGAAGCCGCGAAGAGAUGGAAAUAUGCAACCGGCGUUUCCCGAUACAAACACGAGACAAUUGUGGAAGUGGAAAACUCACAGUUCCUCUGUUGCAAACUCUGGCAAGAAGCUGGAGCAAGAACGGCGGGGGAUUUGGAUAGAGUGGCCGCAGACCUAGCGAGAGAGCUGAGGACCUUCAAGUAACCUGCCAUGGUUUUUUGUUUUUUUUCUCGCC